AUGUCGCUGUACGACGGCGGGCUCGCCGGAGUGUACCCCGAGGAGGAGGAUGACCGCCUCGCCGACCUGGCGGGGGACUCCGACUACGACGACGACGAGUACGUCCAAUCUAUUAGCAAGGCGUCAGAAGAUACAUCUGCGAUGGAUGUCCUGAAAGGGAAGGACAUACAGGGAAUUCCCUGGGAACGGCUGACCAUCACAAGGGACGGAUAUAGGAAGUCAAGACUGGAAGGGUAUACGAACUUUGAGAACAUACCUAAUUCGGGACAAUUAUCGGAGAAGGUAUGUACACCUGUGGAGAAAGGUCAACUCUACUACGAGUUUGCGCAUAACACAAGAUCUGUGAGACCGACCAUUUUUCAUUUUCAGUUGAGAAAUUUAGUAUGGGCAACAACAAGGCAUGAUGUUUAUCUUAUGUCACACAUGUCUGUGCUUCAUUGGUCACCACUGACCUCUGAGAAGCACGAGGUCAUUGAUCUUCAAGGACAUGUUGCUCCAUGUGAGAAGCACGAGGGGAAUUUCUAUGAGGGCUUUUAUCGGACUCACGUUAGCACAUUGGCAGUCAAGAACAACCUGCUGGUUGCUGGUGGCUUUCAUGGAGAACUAAUUUGCAAAUUUUUGGACCGUGAAGGAAUAAGCUAUUGUUCCAAGUCAACUCAUGAUGACAAUGGCAUUACUAAUUUUCUGGAGAUAUUUGAGAAACCUAGUGGUUCCGUGCAUUUCCUAGCAUCAAACAAUGAUUGUGGACUAAGAGACUUUGACAUGGAGAAGUUUCAAAUGUGCAAUAAUUUUCAUUUCGAUUGGGCUGUGAAUCACACAUCCUUGAGCCCUGAUGGUAAAAUCAUUGCUGUUGUGGGGGACAAUCCUGACGGUGUUCUGGUUGAUGCUAAUUCGGGGAAAAUGAUUCACGAGCUCAGUGGUCAUUUGGAUUAUUCGUUUGCAUCGGCAUGGAACCCAGACGGCCGGACAUUCGCAACUGGGAACCAAGACAAGACAUGCAGGAUCUGGGACGCCCGUAACCUCUCCAAGUCUGUCGCUGUCCUGGGAGGCAACAUGGGAGCCAUAAGGUCCAUCCGCUAUACAUCUGACGGCAAGUUCCUGGCAAUGGCUGAAGCUGCAGACUUCAUCCACAUCUUUGACGUCGGGAGUGGGUACGACAGGAAGCAGGAGCUGGACUUCUUUGGUGAGAUUGCCGGCAUAUCGUUCAGUCCUGACACUGAGGCUCUCUUUGUCAGCGUACAUGAUCGCAACUAUAGCAGCCUCCUCCAGUUCAGUCGUCGACGGUUUUACAGCUACCUUGAUUCAGCUUUGUGA
rnacentral:rRNA from 1 species